rnacentral:rRNA from 1 species
GAUGAACGCUGACAGAAUGCUUAACACAUGCAAGUCCACUUGAAUUUGGGUUUUUAACUUAGGUUUGGGUGGCGGACGGGUGAGUAACGCGUAAAGAACUUGCCUCACAGCUAGGGACAACAUUUGGAAACGAAUGCUAAUACCUAAUAUUAUGAUAAUAGGGCAUCCUAUAAUUAUGAAAGCUAUAAGCGCUGUGAGAGAGCUUUGCGUCCCAUUAGCUAGUUGGAGAGGUAACGGCUCACCAAGGCGAUGAUGGGUAGCCGGUCUGAGAGGGUGAUCGGCCACAAGGGGACUGAGACACGGCCCUUACUCCUACGGGAGGCGGCAGCGGGGAAUAUUGGACAAUGGACCGAGAGUCUGAUCCAGCAAUUCUGUGUGCACGAUGAAGUUUUUCGGAAUGUAAAGUGCUUUCAGUUGGGAAGAAACAAAUGACGGUACCAACAGAAGAAGUGACGGCUAAAUACGUG